GUCCCUAUAAAGCGGUGAAUAUCUCGUUGGGCUUCUAAUCCAAAGAUAGUGGGUUCGAAUCCCACCUGGGAUG